CUGAGAUGAUCUCCUUAACAUAA
rnacentral:piRNA from 1 species